rnacentral:rRNA from 1 species
AGUAAAAGUCGUAACAAGGUUUCCGUAGGUGAACCUGCGGAAGGAUCAUUACUGAAGAAACAAGGGUUUUGAGACUGCGUCCUUCAAUUGGGCGUGUGCCCGACUCUUACUCUUUCAUAUCCCAUACACACCUUUGUGCACCAAGGGGACCCUUGUGUCCCCCUUUUUUUCAUAAAUACCGAGUUAUAUGCAUGUAUAGUUUGUAUACUCUACGGAGUUAUUAUAAAUACAACUUUCAACAACGGAUCUCUUGGCUUUCGCAUCGAUGAAGAACGCAGCGAACGUGCGAAACGUAAUGUGAAUUGCAGAAUUCAGUGAAUCAUCGAAUCUUUGAACGCAUCUUGCGCUCCUUGGUAUUCCGAGGAGCAUGCCUGUUUGAGUGUCGUGAAUAACUCUCAAUGUCAAAUAUUUUAGAAUAUCUGACAUUGGACUUGGGCGUUGUCGUGUUUCUACGACUCGUCCUAAAUGCAUUAGCGAUCUGCCCUAAUCACACACAAUGUGAUAAGUAAAAAAUAAAGCAUUGUUAUGGUUGGGUUUGAAAGAUGGCUUCUAAUCGUCGUAAUGACAAAUAAAAGACCAUGUCGUUUGACCUCAAAUCAGGCAGGACUACCCGCUGAACUUAAGCAUAUCAAUAAGCGGAGGAAAAGAAACUAACAAGGAUUCCCCUAGUAACGGCGAGUGAAGAGGGAAAAGCUCAAAUUUAAAAUCUGGCGGUCUACGGCCGUCCGAGUUGUAAUCUAGAGAAGCGUCUUCCGUGC